rnacentral:misc_RNA from 1 species
CGAGCGAGCCGCGUCGUCGAUCAAAACAUUGACCCCUUGAUCGAGUCGCCAUCCUCCUCCCGCUCGCUGACCCGUCUCCGCUGCCGGCUUUCCUCCCCCCUUCCCUCCCAUCGCACAAGAAAACCCUAAAAAAGAGAGAGAGAGAGGAGGGGAGAGAGAAAGCAAUUUCAAUUUUCAAUCCACAAUUUGCAUCCCAGAUCUCCCUGUUUUCGAGAUGAGUAACGCCAAUUCGGCGGCGGCGUCCAGCUCCGGCGGUGAUGCGUCGGCUCCCCGGAGGAAUUCCAAGAGGCCUAAAUAUUCAAAAUUUACCCAACAAGAACUUCCGGCUUGCAAGCCGAUUCUCACUCCACAAUGGGUGAUUUCGGUAUUUACGCUCAUUGGUAUCGUCUUCGUACCGAUCGGUGUCGCAUCGCUGCUCGCGUCCCAUGAUGUUGUAGAAAUUGUUGAUAGAUAUGAGAAUGCUUGUGUACCACCGAACAUCAAGGAUAAAGUUGCGUACAUACAAAAUGAUGCAAUUAAGAAGACUUGCACUAGAAAACUUACGGUGCCCAAGGAUAUGAAUCAUCCUAUUUAUGUGUACUAUCAACUUGAUAACUUCUACCAGAACCAUCGAAGGUACGUGAAGAGCCGGAACGACCAACAAUUGAGGGAUAAAAGCAAAAUGAAUGAAACAACUGGCUGUGAUCCUGAAAAAACUACCGCAGAUGGCCUCCCGAUUGUUCCCUGCGGUCUCAUUGCGUGGAGUUUGUUCAACGACACCUACACUUUCACCCGCGGGAAGGUUGCAUUGUCAGUGAUCAAGAAGGGCAUUGCCUGGAAGAGCGACAAGAAUCACAAGUUUGGAUCAGAUGUGUUCCCGAAGAACUUCCAAAAUGGAGCUUUGAAAGGUGGAGGGACGCUUAAUGCUUCAAAACCUUUGAGCGAGCAGGAGGAUCUCAUUGUCUGGAUGCGCACUGCAGCGCUUCCAACAUUUAGGAAGCUCUAUGGAAAGAUAGAGACGGAUCUCAAGGAGAAUGACACCAUUACCGUCACGCUGGAGAACAACUACAACACCUAUAGUUUUGGUGGCAAGAAGAAGUUGGUGUUAUCAACCACAAGCUGGCUCGGAGGGAAGAACGACUUCCUUGGUUUAGCAUAUCUCACCAUCGGCGGACUGUGCUUCUUCUUGGCAACGGCCUUCACUGUCGUGUAUUUGGUUAAGCCAAGGAAACUCGGAGAUCCGACGUACUUGUCAUGGAACAGAAACCCUUCGGGUCACUAAAUGUGCCAUAUGACUCACACGAGUUUAUCCUUACUGGUUUCUUCUGAUGUAUUGUGAGAUCUGUCAAACUUUGCAACACAAUGUGUAGUGUGUUAUUUUGGAGUUUGGGUUCUAUAUGGAAACCAAGCUGACACAAUCCAUG